AUAAAAAACCAACGCCCUUCGGGGCUCCUUGGUGAAUCAUAAUAACUAAGCGAAUCGCAUGGCCUUGCGCCGGCGAUGGUUCAUUCAAAUUUCUGCCCUAUCAACUUUCGAUGGUAAGAUAGUGGCUUACCAUGGUGGCAACGGGUAACGGGGAAUUAGGGUUCGAUUCCGGAGAGGGAGCCUGAGAAACGGCUACCACAUCCAAGGAAGGCAGCAGGCGCGCAAAUUACCCAAUCCCGACACGGGGAGGUAGUGACAAUAAAUACUGAUGCGGGGCUCUUUUGGGUCUCGUAAUUGGAAUGAGUACAAUCUAAAUCCCUUAACGAGGAACAAUUGGAGGGCAAGUCUGGUGCCAGCAGCCGCGGUAAUUCCAGCUCCAAUAGCGUAUAUUAAAGUUGUUGCAGUUAAAAAGCUCGUAGUUGAACCUUGGGUCUGGCUGACCGGUCCGCCUCACCGCGAGUACUGGUUCGGCUGGGCCUUUCCUUCUGGGGAACCUCAUGGCCUUCACUGGCUGUGG
rnacentral:rRNA from 1 species